UGGGUAGAUGCAUGCACGUCCAUGAGAAAAAGGAACCCCGUUCAAUGGCCCCAUGGCCUCCCGUGUUAGCCAGCCCAGACCUGGCUUGUAGGGAAACAUCUGCUAGUGGAGGGUUGGGUGUCCCCAUGGGGUCCAUACUGCAGCACCACAGACCUCUCCCUGGCCUACAUGGGAUGUGUAUCUAGAGAUGUCCAUGCCCAUCCAGCCUGGGGGUGGCUCCAGAGAGAUGUACAGACAGCAGGCCUGAGGGGCUUGAGCUGGCCAGGGACCCCCCAGAACUGCCCAUGUCUUCCCACCAGGAAGUAAGCACCCCGCCUUGUCUCUCUUGAAACAGGUCUAGGAACAAGGCAGUCGUAACUGUGGGAAAUGUUGAUCGGAAGCAUGAUAGAGCCUGCAUUGCUCUGCAGGCCACCUGGAGAGUUCUGGACAGAAUAAACCCUACAGGCCAAUGUACCUGUGACAGCUACCCUCCCACACCAGACUCAAACUGAAAUACUGAGUUGGCCUUCAGACUAGAACUUAUACCAUCAGCUUUCCUGAAUCUCCAGCUUACCAACUGUGGAUCUUGGGACUUCUCAGCCUCCAUAAUCAUGCCAGGUCACUGGUGACUUUCCCAAAAAACCUCUUCAAAAAAUCUGGGAGUCUGGAGAUCCCCAAGCUGGGCCUCCCAUUCUGCAGUCUUGGCAAGCCUCACCAUGUCCUUGAGUAAUGCCUGUCCCUGAGAACCAUCACCCCCAAGGUCCACUGAGCCAACCUGAACAGCAGGGGGCAAAGGAGUUAAGGGCCUGGCCCUGCCCUGGCUCUGCCUCUUAACCCCAAGUGCCUACUUGUCCUGUGAGCUAUGCGCCCAUACUGCCUACCUCCCAGCUCCAACACAUGCAGUCCCUGGGCUUGUCACACCACAGACGUCCUGGACUCCCAGGACUCAUUUUUUAAGGCAUCUGAGUAUCCACAUUUCUCAGGAAUCAUUCUCAAAAAUCCCCAUUUCUCCCUAAUGAAUGCUCCUGGCAUCUACUGGUGGUCAUGAAAUGGGCCAAGUCACUGAAAGAACCAUUUGUCAACUCUGUCCUGACAACAUCACUGGGGCUGCAGGUAAGUGGAUGCCAGACUCCGGGGUCUGGGGUCUGGCCCAGCUCUGCUGAGGACUCCGGAGGGGACCUUCUCUGUGUAUAUCAGAAGGUAUCUGAGUUUCAGUUCCCACAAAGGCAGAUGCCAAGACAAGGAUUUGCUUCAAGGCGUCUUAUCUGGCAGGUGUUUGGGGGAGGCACAGUGAGUGAGGCAACAGAGGAGGACGGCUUGGGAUCCCAGAGAGCACUCGGGAACCGCAGAAAGUCUGGCUCCAGAGCCUGAAGACAUGACAUGGCUGUGCCCCUGUCUCUUGGCCAGUUAAACUCACAUGAAGAUCCGAGAUAUAACGGUGAAAAGCUCUGAUGCAGAGUCAGUGCUCUGGAAACAGCAGUUGCUAUGAUAAUAGUUUUGAGAACCCCUGUGAGGAUUAAAUAACACGCUGAGAUAGCCCAGUCCUGCAUCGUCUCA